CGUUCAGAAACAGAUUCACUGGAGACAGCACGAGUUGAAGCAUUGUUUCUCUAAAUCCUUUCUUCAUCUCAAAGCACAACCUCUCCAAGAAAGCUGUAGGGCACUCAGGACCAUCGGGACUACAAUGCACUGGCAAUCGCCCGUGCACUUUGUACAAAUUAACAAGGACAGUAAUAUCCCACGGACGUAGAGUAAGAGGGUGGACUGGUUUGACUGAGCUUUCAUUUUCCUUCUUUUCAUUUUCUACUCCCACAGCUGUCCA
rnacentral:lncRNA from 1 species